rnacentral:tRNA from 1 species
AGAAACUUAGGUUAAUCUAAACCAGGGACCUUCAAAGUCCCAAAUAGGGGCACCCUCCUAGUUUCUG